rnacentral:rRNA from 1 species
CUGCUAUCGGGGUUCGAUUAAGCCAUGCGAGUCGAGAGGUGCAAGACCUCGGCGCACUGCUCAGUAACACGUGGACAACCUACCCUGAGGAGGGGGAUAACCCCGGAAAACUGGGGAUAAUACCCCAUAGACCAGGGAUGCUGGAAUGCUUCCUGGUCCAAAGGUCCGCCGCCUCAGGAUGGGUCUGCGGCCGAUUAGGUUGUUGUUGGGGUAACGGCCCAACAAGCCUUUGAUCGGUACGGGCUGUGGGAGCAAGAGCCCGGAGAUGGAUUCUGAGACACGAAUCCAGGCCCUACGGGGCGCAGCAGGCGCGAAAACUUUACAAUGCGAGAAAUCGUGAUAAGGGAACCCCGAGUGCCUGUACACACAGGCUGUUCAGGUGUUUAAAACACAUCUGGAGAAAGGGCCGGGCAAGACCGGUGCCAGCCGCCGCGGUAAUACCGGCGGCUCGAGUGGUGGCCACUAUUACUGGGCUUAAAGCGUCCGUAGCUUGGCUGUU